rnacentral:rRNA from 1 species
CGCCUACGGGACGCAGCAGUGGGGAAUAUUGCACAAUGGGGGAAACCCUGAUGCAGCAACGCCGCGUGAGUGAAGAAGUGUUUCGAUAUGUAAAGCUCUAUCAGCAGGGAAGAAGAUGACGGUACCUGAUUAAGAAGCCCCGGCUAACUACGUGCCAGCAGCCGCGGUAAUACGUAGGGGGCAAGCGUUAUCCGGAUUUACUGGGUGUAAAAGGAGCGUAGACGGCAUAGCAAGUCUGAAGUGAAAGCC